AACGAACGCUGGCGGCAUGCCUAACACAUGCAAGUCGAACGAGACCUUCGGGUCUAGUGGCGCACGGGUGCGUAACGCGUGGGAACCUUCCCUUAGGUUCGGAAUAACUCCCCGAAAGGGGUGCUAAUACCGGAUAAUGUCUUCGGACCAAAGAGUUAUCGCCUUUGGAUGGGCCCGCGUUGGAUUAGCUAGUUGGUAGGGUAAAAGCCUACCAAGGCGACGAUCCAUAGCUGGUCUGAGAGGAUGAUCAGCCACACUGGGACUGAGACACGGCCCAGACUCCUACGGGAGGCAGCAGUGGGGAAUAUUGGACAACGGGCGAAAGCCUGAUCCAGCAAUGCCGCGUGAGUGAUGAAGGCCUUAGGGUUGUAAAGCUCUUUUACCCGGGAUGAUAAUGACAGUACCGGGAGAAUAAGCUCCGGCUAACUCCGUG
rnacentral:rRNA from 1 species